GUGAUCCCUCCGCGCGAGUUUUACGGUUGGAAGAAGCUGAGGGGAGCAGCUGGUGGGGGAAGGGCGAGGGAAGUAGUCCUCUUUAGAAGAAUAAAAUGUUAUGUAUUGGCUGCGCUGAGGCCAGUUCGAGGGUGGGCGAAGGUUUGGAGUAUAUCGCAUCGGGGCUAUAGAGGGGAAGCUGCACAUUUUGAAUGUUUCUCCUCUGAGGAGUUUUAACACCCCACCAAAAAAAAAAAAAAAAAAAACCCACUCCAAAGUCCGUGUGGCAUUUUGCUACCUUGAACCCUUCUGACGCGACAAAAACCCGCGCGUAGGAAAACCGCGCUUUAGUUUCUGGCGCAUGUCAACGUGCCUGUGGUAAAUCUCACGUGGAAGGGAGUUCCGUCGGUUACCUCUGGCCAGAAGGACGACUAGAAGUCAUUUCGCCCCAAUUUUCCUGAUCAUGUUGAAUACAGAGGGCAGGGGCAAUCUUUUCAAACCCUCAGAUUUGGUGCAAGAAGCUGUUUUUCCGUUAGCACCGCAUAGCAAAAAGUGUUUACCGAUUAAAGUAGGGUGGUUAAAGUUAGAUUAAGGUGCAGUCUUGGGAAGAAAGCCACACUAAAGGGAGGAGCAGUCUAGUUUCACACAAAAAAAAAUAGGACCUGUUCAUUUUGCCUCAUAUCUCAGGUUCUACAAAGGCCAGAAACCUUUAUUAUUAUUAUUAAAUAUAAUGGUACCUAGGAGCCAGUAUAAUGGUUCGAAUGCUGGACUUUUCCCACUUUUGAGCCAUGAAGCUCACAGGAUGACCUUGAGUCCCUCAGCCUAACCUACCUCAGAGGAUCGCAGUGAGGAUAAAAUGGGGAGAGGGAGAACCGUGGACACCACCUUUGCGUCUUUACGUCAGCAGUUCUCAGGGACAGGAGUUUCUAUCAUAUUCAUGGUGCCAGUGUAAGUAACCUCCUUUGCUGCAUUGCCGUGCUGCAAAAUGAAAAUGAUUCCAUGUUCGUUCCUGCAUUGCAGGGGGUUGGACUAGAUGACCCCAGGGGUCCCUUCCAACUCUAAGAUUCUAUUAUUCUAUGUCAACAGCACAACAUCACCACACAACAAGCCCACACAAGGCAGCAGCUGCACAUAUAUGCACAUUAACACAGACGUGAACCCAAGUUAGGGUAAGUGAACAGGACAGAUCAAAUUUCAUUUGGGGAGUAGGAUAGUGUCUAGCAGGCAAACCAAAGCAAUAACAGGAAAGGGAAACGAGACCCUUCUCCAGCUCACAAUCAUCAUCAUCAUAAAUUUUAUAAAUUUUAUAUAUCCCAUCCAUAUGAUUGGGCUGCCACAGUCAUUUUGGGUGGCAUCCAACAAAAAUACAAAUACAGCUUUUUUAAAAAAAAUAAAAAUCAAACAUUAAAAGCUUCCCAAAACAGCUCACCAGAACCUCAAUUACUGCAUAGCAGCUUGCAGAAAGGAAUGUAUCUGAAGUGAAUUGACUGGCAGCAGGUGGCACUGUUAGAUAGUGAAUGUUUCAGAAAUAUUCAUCAGGAGACAAUCUGCCUGCUUGUGUAAGGUGAAAGAAAGCAGUAAUACAUAACUUUUCAAGAUUUCUUUUCUUGCCUUUAUUGGCAUAAGUUAAAACAGUAAAAUCAUAAAAAUCAUACAAAGUCAUCCAAAUACACUGAUAAUCCAAGCACAAUAAAUAUAUAAAAGACUAGAUAACCACCAUUGAAUAAAUCAGGCAACUUUAGAUUUAGCUUUAAAGAUCUUGGCUAAGUACCCCAAAACAAUCUUGGUAGUUUUGGGAGUAUCAUCCCUCAGGAAAUACUGGAUUAUAGACUCUUUGCAAAUCAAUAUUUUGAGCUGUAAGGGAGUUGGUAGGAGAUUUCUGCGAUGGGUGUUGAGAAGAGGGCAAUCCAAAAUUAUGUGAUGUAUUGGUGUUUUCUUAUUACAGGAACAGAAUCUGAUCUGGAAGGGGAUUUUUUGAAACCUUCCAAACAAUACAGAUGAGGGGAAUGCAUUUAGACGAGUUAGCAUAAAAGCUCUGCUAUACGAUGGGGUAUCUAAAUUAUAAAAGUAAUUAGGCAUUACUCCAUUGUGGGGCUCCAAUCCUUUUCAAGACUCCAAGAGAUAUGGUGAACCUGCUCUCCUUGCAAUAUGGAUGUAAAUUGAACUCUGAAAACAAUUCAGAGUUAAGCCCUUGUCUCUUUUAACAAUCCACAGUACAGUGAAAGGUGUGGCCAUAAACAGGGCAGAGAAACAGUUUGAAAGUGUCAGCUCCAGAUACCCUGUUCCCCUUAUGGCCUAAAACUGCACAGAGCAAAAGGGCUGAAUGUCAAGGCUCACAGCAUACUAAGAGCUAGAGGUCUAUGUAAAUAUGCGUGAUUGCAAGGGCACAACACAAAGACAACUGGAGGCCUCAUGGAUGAUGAUAUUGUGCUCACAACCAUUACAAGUUAAGGAAACACAGCAGUCUGUGGUGUAACUUGGAUGGGGCAGAACAGACCAGAUUCUUUAGACCAGAGUGUGUAAAACACACCCAGAAGCCUUUAAUCCUUUUUCUUACUGCAGGGAUGAGGAACCUGUAGUUCUCCAGAUGAUGCUUACAAACCACUUACAAACGUGUUGCUAUGAGAAAUUCACAAUAAAAUCCUGAUGCUGUUUAAAUUUUUUUAUUGAAUAUAAGAAGAAAAACAAACAAUAACAGGAACAGAUAUAAAGACCCCCAAAACCCUCCUGCCGAUGGUACAAUGGUACAUUGUAAUUAUACAAUGGUACAUUGUAAUAAAUUCAAGUUUUCACAUCAACCUUUGUUUCUACAGCAUAAAGGGUAGAGCACAAAGUCUGAGCAGCAGUCAGUUCAUCAUUCACAAAGAAAGAAAAGUUAUUUUUCCUGAAAGGAGAUGUAGUCUGUAAUUACAACAUCCAAAUUUGUAAUGCUGCUGCUGAUAAUCAGUCUGUAAGUCCAGUAUUGUUGGUGUAUGUAAUAAAUUGCCAAAAUGCUGAUGAAUUUUGAUGAGGAUUUUUUUUUAAUGCAAAAUGUAGAGAACUGAAUUUUAGAUUGGAAAAAUUAGAAAUUAGACAGAACCGAAACUUAUCGAUUCUUCCAUCCCUUGC